AAUCACCUUGCAUGACAGCGCCAGUGAAAGCUCCAAUCAAUCGUCCGAGAUUCAAUAAAGAAGCGACCCAGGAAGCUUCAAAGUCUGAUAGUGUCAAUGAAGAUUUCGAAUCCAUUGAAGUCAAUUGAGCCAGAUACUUUUAGAUACUUUGGAUUAUCUUAGGAUUCAAUUAAAGAGGAGAAUAACAGGAAUUUUUUCAUAAUGAUUAAUGCACAAAAACAGCAACAAAAAAUUAAUGUUCCUAAUAGAUUUCAACAGCGAACAAUAUUGAAAGUUGUUGUUGAAAAAAUAGGAAAAGCAAGUGCCACAGUUCAUGGAGACUUGAGCAAACAAGCUUUAAAGGAACUGUUGAUGUCUGAGUUGUCAUUAAUAUCAAAAAUCGAAUCUUUUGAAAAAGAAGACAUAAGAACUUCUCUAAAUGAAAUUCAAGAAUGCAUUGAUGAAGAAUUUACAAUAAAUAAUGAGGAAGAAAUUUUAAAUGAUAUUGAUGAAGUAAUUGAAGAUCAUGAGAACUCUAUGACAGAUUUAUCGAUAAAUGGAAAUAAACAAGAAGAGGAAAACAGGAGAAAAUGUGAUAUGAAAUUUUCAAAGAAUAUUAAUAAACUCGAUAGGAAAGUUGGAAAAUUUGAAAAAAAAUUAACGAAAGAUGGAAAGUGUGAAAAUAAGGAAAAACUUGGGAAGAAUAUUUAUUUAAAGGAUACAAUAUCAAGUGACAGGAAUUUCAGUGCAAGCAGAAAAAGCCAAGAAAUUUUAAACGAUUCUCCGAAUCAUGAUCUUAUUUUAAAAGAAGAAAACGAUGAAGAGUUAAAUAUGUCUGAGAAUAAUAAAUGGUUAAAAAAGUAUUUUAAACAACCGUUAACUUUAGCCAUGACAGAAAUUAUUCAGAAAAAACCAUCAGAUCCAGUAAACUAUUUAGGUUUCUGGUUAUUAAAUUACAGGAGUCUGCAAAAAAAUCGAGAGAUGGAAGCAGCGGAAUCACUUACAGAAUCAAUUACAAACUAAAUUGCAAAAAAUAUGAAACAGAAUGCUAAAUUAUCAAUUCAAGAAGAAAGUGCAUAAAGCAAAUAAUCUACUUAUUAUAGAAAUAUUUUUAGAUUAGUUUUCACCAUCUAGAUGAUUGCGGAGAAAUUAAAUUGCAGUAGCGAUGCUUUUUUUUCCCGCCAAUUUUCUGCUGUGACGGACAUUUGGCUUUUCGUUUCAUUGUAAACCUGUUGCGUGUGAUUAAUUUGUU